rnacentral:rRNA from 1 species
CCUACGGGUGGCAGCAGUGGGGAAUUGUUCGCAAUGGGCGCAAGCCUGACGACGCAACGCCGCGUGGAGGAUGAAGAUUUUCGGAUCGUAAACUCCUUUCGAUCGAGACGAAUGACCCUUGGGCUAAUACCCUGAGGGAGUGACGGUACCGAGAGAAGAAGCCCCGGCUAACUCCGUGCCAGCAGCCGCGGUAAUACGGGGGGGGCAAGCGUUGUUCGGAAUUACUGGGCGUAAAGGGCUCGUAGGCGGCCAAUUAAGUCAGACGUGAAAUCCCUCGGCUCAACCGGGGAACUGCGUCUGAUACUGGAUGGCUUGAGUUCGGGAGAGGGAUGCGGAAUUCCAGGUGUAGCGGUGAAAUGCGUAGAUAUCUGGAGGAACACCGGUGGCGAAGGCGGCAUCCUGGACCGAUACUGACGCUGAGGAGCGAAAGCCAGGGGAGCAAACGGGAUUAGAUACCCUUGUAGUC